rnacentral:rRNA from 1 species
CAGCCGCCGCGGGAAUACGAAGGGUGCAAGCGUUACUCGGAAUUACUGGGCGUAAAGCGUGCGUAGGUGGUGGUUUAAGUCCGUUGUGAAAGCCCUGGGCUCAACCUGGGAAUUGCAGUGGAUACUGGGUCACUAGAGUGUGGUAGAGGAUAGUGGAAUUUCCGGUGUAGCAGUGAAAUGCGUAGAGAUCGGAAGGAACAUCUGUGGCGAAGGCGACUAUCUGGGCCAACACUGACACUGAGGCACGAAAGCGUGGGGAGCAAACAGGAUUAGAUACCCGAGUAGUCCCUGUCCUUAUACA